UGAGGCUUGUGUAGGAGAUUGCUGGGUUAAUGUUUGAAAAGGUUCCUUCAGUGAAAGGACAAAGGGCUAAUUUUAUACCUCCCUCUGUGUGUGGCUGCAGAUAGAAUUAGUGGCCAUAAAAUUAUCCAGCCCUGAACAAAAAAUGAACUGAAGCAUGUUACUGGUUGCUGUGCUGUGGCUGAAAUGCCAGGCUGGACGGUUGGCUGCUCCCAUGAGGAGCACCCCGGUGGCAGUGGGUUUACCUCCCCUUCACGAAAAGCCUCUGCAAUCUCGGCGAGAGGAGAAGCUGCAGGGAGGAGGGGUGCCAGUCUUCCUCGGCCCCGUGCCCUUCACUGAAGACCUCACCUUCUUCCAGGUUCUGGACAAACAGGUCCAGUUCUUUGCAACUUGGAUCUAAAUCCUUCUACUCAGCCACCCUGCUUUAGAAUCAAUUAACCAAUAGCGGAAGGCGGCUCUCGGUCAUGUGACCUGGAGAUCAAAGGGGAGAUCCUCUUGACCUCUUUCUUCCAAACACAGAGGGAGCCCCCCAACCCCCCAACUCACUUCCAGGCCUCUCAGCAGCUCUGCAGGGCCCAGAGGCCACUCCGUGUGCUUCUGCCGACUCGGUUGUGACCGGACAGGCAGCAUCUCUCCAGGUGCUCAACAAACUCCAGGGUGACGGCAUCGCUAAGUUUUGGUUUGGGUUGAGAAGAAUGUUUGAAAAUCUAAACAUCCAAGCGUUCAACCGCAUGAAUCAUCGGGGAACGAAACUCUCCAGCAUAAUCCAUCUACUGGAAGAUUGGUUUUCCCUCCAUGCUGUGACUUGAACUCUGUGAUCUCCAGGUUUGAAGCUGGAGGAGGUGUUGGGAUGACAAAGGAUAGAGGCAGACACAACUUUCUAUCUGGUGGCCAUAGCUCCAGCUCUGCAGAAUUCUCCAAGGGCUUGGAAUAUUUGAAAGCUGCCCUAUUUUCUCGAGUUUAACACAGUUUAUUUUCCCAUAUGUUAACAUUUAUGAAAUUGGGAUCUGUAACGCAAACCCUGUCAAAAAGAUUUGCCUGCUGCUGGGCGGAGAAGUGAGGUGCCAAGACAGUUGGCACUGCCUAUGGCCACACAAGCUUUGCCAGCGUAGAAGUAUCUCUUCAUCCACUUCACCACUCCUGGUUCACUGUUUGCAUUGUGGCACCACACGCUAUUAACAUAUCAGUGGAUAUGUGUCCUAGUGGUCACCGAAAAUGUCUUAAAAAGCUUUCACUGCUUUACUGUAUUGAAGCAGAAGUCACCUCGUGUGCACACACUGAGCAUUACACCUUGCCCCACGACAGAGGGUACAUUACAAAAAUUUUCAAAACUGGGAGAAAUUGGUGUGACCCCUUCAUGCAUCAUAAAAAAACUAUUAUUUAGGCCUCAAAAUCUUUUAAAGGUUUCUAGUGACUUUCAACAGAAGCUGCUUAAUGCUCUUUAAAAAAGGAAAAACGAAAUUAUAAGUUUAACCAAAGAGGAAAUGCCAACACACCCCUAGGGUUCUCUGUGAUGCCUUCAAAUUACAUUGUCAAUCUUAACUGUGCGGCAAAGGCCAAAGUAUUUAGUAUGACUGAAAGACAGUGUCUCCUCGUCAGGCUGUGAAUAACUGUAGGUGUCCAAAAUGACUUGGGAAAAUAUUUAGUUUCUGAUUCUGAAAUACGCUACAGAGACUUCCCUGGUGAUCCAGUGGCCAAGACUCUGAGCUCCCAAUGCAAGGGGCCUGGGUUCAAUCCCUAGUCAGGAAAUUAGAUCUCACGUGCUGCAACUAAGACCCAGCAGAGUCAAAUAAAUGAAUUUUUUUUUUUAAAAAAAAGAAAUAAGCUGCAGCUAAAGUCUGGUAAUAAAAGCAGCAUAUAAUUGUGAAGAGUAGGAGGUGUGUGUCUAGAAUCUUUUUUAUUUUAUUUUUUUUGCAAGUGGAUGCUCAGUUGUCCCAGAACUGUUUGUUGAGAAGACUAUCUUUUCUCCACUGUGUUUCCUUUGCUCUUUUGUCAAAGAUCAGUUAGUUAUAUUUAUUGGGGUCUGUUUCUGGGUUCUGUAUUCUGUUUCACUAAUCCAUUUGUCUGUUCUUUUGCCAACACCAUGCUGUUUUGAUUGUCAUAACUUUCCAGCUUGAACGCAGGUAGUGUCCAUUCUUUUUCUUCUUCUUCAAUAUUAUGUUGACUAUUCUGGAUCAUUUGCCAGGAAGUCAAACAAAUAGUCCAAAUGCUAAUCACUGGGGUUCUUAAAUGUCUUAACAAUACCUCUAGACGAUUACGUAACCGCCAAGAUAAUAUUACAAAAUCUACCGUCUUUUGUUUUUCAUUUCAACUCCUCUCCACUUAAGGAAGGAUCCCGUGUAUGCACAGCUCACUUUCGCUUCAGUAACUUUGGGGAGUGGGGGCUGUCUCCUUCCUUUAUCAGCCUGUUGCAGGGACUCCUUGGACUGGGAAGUUCACCAAGUUCCUCACAUUUCAGCCACAGAAAACAAAACUCACCGGAAGCAUACACUUCCCUUCUCUUCCUAGCAAUAAUUUCUUUAUCCAAUCACCAGGAAGUCCUGUCCCCUAUCAGCGGUGGAGGGCGCUGCGGUGUCGCUGUGCAUGUGUGUUACCCACAAUGUGGCAUAAUAAAGGCAUAAAUAAGAUGCAACAGAAAAGGGUUUCUCCCAUGACUGCCCUUCCAAUCCCUAAGCUGCCCAAUAAGCUUCCUUUGCUGCCUUCUUCCUGCAGGGACCACUUGUGCAUGUUCUGGAUGCUGGUGCUUCCUCUCCCAGGAGGGCAGUUCACCCUGAGGGAUACCGGGGAGGUGGGGAGUUGUGCCCAUCUGCAUUGGUGCAACACCCCCUCCGCAAAUUCCGCACAUUUUUCUCUUUUAGAAAAGUGACUUAUCUCCCCCAAAUGCUUUUUCUUUAUAUUAUAAUGAUGACUCCGAUUCAGGAAUACUCCAAGACAGUAAAUGCAGUGAAAAAUGUGUCUAUGCUCAUACCUGGUGCGCCAGUUACUGUUGCUGCACGAGAAUUUAUCCCUGACAUUUAGCAGCUUCAAACACCCAUCUACUGCACAUUCAGGGAUCCUAUGGGUUUGGAAUUUAGACAGCAGGAAUGGCUUGGCUCUGUUCCAUAAUAUUGUUACCGGUGAAUUUGAGGUUCUUGCUUCAUCGUGAAAGAAAUAGCG
ensembl:lncRNA